rnacentral:rRNA from 1 species
AUUGAACGCUGGCGGCAUGCCUUACAUAUGGAAGUAGAACGGAAGUAAAGUUGCUUCCUCUUCUUGGGGAUUGGCAAUCGGGUACGUAUUAGAUCUGAAUAUGUCUUUUCUUUUUCGUUAGCCCUGCCAAAGCCGAAUUUAUCCCGCUAACGCUUUCCGCCUGCGAGCGAGGGCCCUUCAUCCUUCGCCCUUUCGCGUUUGCCGAUGCCUGAUUAGCUAUUUGGUGGGGUAAAGGCCUACCAAGGCGACGAUCAGUAGCUGGUCUGAGAGGACGACCAGCCACACUGGGACUGAGACACGGCCCAGACUCCUACGGGAGGCAGCAGUGGGGAAUAUUGGACAAUGGGCGAAAGCCUGAUCCAGCAAUGCCGCGUGUGUGAAGAAGGCCUUCGGGUUGUAAAGCACUUUUGUCCGGAAAGAAAAGCAGGGGCUUAAUACGGUGGGGGGAUGACGGUACCGGAAGAAUAAGCACCGGCUAACUACGUG